rnacentral:rRNA from 1 species
GACGAACGCUGGCGGCGUGCUUAACACAUGCAAGUCGAGCGGUAAGGCCCUUUCGGGGGUACGACGAGCGGCGAACGGGUGAGUAACACGUGGGUGACCUCGCCCUCCAGCUCUGGGAGUAAAGCCUCGGGAAACCGGGGUACCGUAAUAACCGGACUAUGACUCCAUGACGCAUGUUGUGGGGUGGAAAGCCUUGUGCGGCUGAGGAUGGGCCCGCGGCCUAUCAGCUUGUUGGUGGGGUGAUGGCCUACCAAGGCGACGACGGGUAGCCGGCCUGAGAGGCGACCGGCCACACUGGGACUGAGACACGGCCCAGACUCCUACGGGAGGCAGCAGUGGGGAAUCUUGCGCAAUGGGCGAAAGCCUGACGC